UGAAUACAGUUGUUUCAUUUACCUUUUAAACUUUCUCCUCUUCUCUUCCUAUACUUGAGGUGCUUGUAUUUGCAAUUACAUCCCACCUAGGAAGGUACUGGGGUGAUUUCUGCUUAUUGCAAUAUAAAAACAAGUCUUUGAUCUUUGGACUGUCGGACAUUUUAUUAAAAGAUUUAACAGCUAUCUGUAAGCAAUGGUUUUUACAGUAUUUCAGUAGGCUGAUGUGUAGCUGUUUUCGUGCUGUUCUUCACUGACUAACCAGCAAUGGCUACAGAUAAGAAUAGGAAUUGGUUAUUGAAAAUUGUGCAGUAAAAAUUUAACUGUAACCAAAUUUCAGACAAUUUCUGGUGUACUUCACAGCAUUUUUCAAUUAGGAGAGAACAUUCACAAAAUAGCGUUUUUUGUCCAGUUUUGAAAAGUACCAUUCAGAGACAGACGUGAAAUCCUUCAGUCAAAGUUCAAAGUAAGUGGUUAGAAAGCUGCUUGGUAUUUUUCAUUUUGUAAAUUCAAUCUGUUCUCAAUUUCAUAUACUCAUUUCACGUUCUGUGUUUCAGUGAACGUUGCUUUACAAGACAGUAACUUCCCAAAGUGCUUUGAAAAGCAUUCACUGAACAGUAUCUGGAACAGUUUUACUGUAAUGACAUUUUAGUCUCUGUAGUAAUUCAGGUAGUUGUGAGUUCAGCUUGUAUAUGUCACUAACCAGUGUCUUCUUAGGUGACAUUUGAUGGAGUAAAGAAAAAGGUGUUUGGACUUAAGAGUAUUUCAAGGCAAACAGAUCUUUGGUAGAGCAACCAACCCACCAGCAAUGAAGUGAUGUAUUUAAUGUGUGGCUGUGGAGAGGAAUGGAAUGGAUUUGCUUGUAGCAGUGGGCAUGUGCUGUACCCAUUACUAAUCACUAAUAAUGCCAGAACAUGCUUUUAUCUGACCAUCUGCCUCUUAUUUUUUUUUUAAAUGAACUCUGAUUUUAUCUCCACUUCUCUUGGCAGUAUGAGAAAAGGUACUUUGUUCCUAUGAAGAAUUUCUUUUAGAAGUUUUCUUAUUUUAAUCUGCUUUCUGGAAUAAUCUAAAUCCCAGAUGCAUAAUCUGUGAAUCUGUGUUUUAUUCACUGUCUUGAUAGAGGUGAUCAAAAGUGGAAAUAGAUGCAAGUGCUUUAUGUACCUAAGGGUACAUACAUCUAAAAACAGAUCAGUUAACAUCUUUUCAGAAGAAAGCUAGUUGACAAAGUUUUUUGAAAGUCAAGGCAGCUGAGUAUUCUUGUUUAAUCUGGUUUAAUCUGCAUGAGCCCACAGGCAUGGCCCGCCCAGCAAAAGAUAUUUCAUUUGAAGUCUUCUCAUCGAGAUGUUGUCUUAAGGUUUGCAGAACACUUAGAUUGUUUUUUGUUUUCAAGUGUCCGUAGAAGCUCCAGUUAUUGUUAUUUGAACAGCUCUUUUAGAUGCCUAUCCCUGAGCUAGUGCUCUUACUUCAGUUAAGACUGAAAGUGAUUAACAGUUUUGUUUACUUCCCCAGCAGCCGUGCCAGUUUAUGCACCCACUCCAGAAGAAUGACCUGGCAGUGAGCAAAACAAAACAUUUCAUUGGUUGUUUUUCAGCCACAUUGCCAAAAACUUUCAGCAUCACAGCGGAGGGCAAAGGACAAGUCAAAGAGAGCAUAAUUAAGCAAUGCAGCAUCAGCAAUCCUGCUAACUUAUGUUAGCAUGACCGCCAAAAUCAGUGCCAGUAGUCUGACACUGUGCUGUGUUCAUUGCAGCCCUUUUGAUACACCUAGCUGUGGUGAAGAGAAGUUGUUUUUCUAGUGGUUAAAAGAGAUCACAAGAGAACAUGUGGAAGGUUUCCAGCGAUGGGGCUACAACUACAGCCUCCCCUAGAAUUGUAGAUUAAAAAAAGGGGAUGACACAACACAUCUCUAGUUGCCAAAAAGAAGUGUUAUUCAAGGAGAGUGUUGGAGGGACGAGCAGUGUAUCAAUGUAUUCUUCUGGAGAAGCUGGCAGCCCAUGGCUUGGACAGAUAUACUCUUUGCUGGACAAAGUAUUGACUGGAGGGCUCGGCCCAGAGAGCAGUGAUGGAGUUAAAUUCAUCUGGUGACCUGUUGUGAAUGGUGUUUCCCAAGGGGCGGUGCUGGGACCUGUUCUACUUAGUGUCUUUAUUGAGGACCUGGAUGAGGGGAUUGAAAACCCUCCGUUUUCCGAUGACACCAAGUUGGGAGGAGACAUCAAUCUGCCUGAGGAUAGGAGGCUGGAUCACUGAGCUGAGGCCAAUCGGAUGAAGUUCAACAAGACCAAGUGCCAGGUCCUGCAUUUCGGCCACAAAAAUCCCACACAGCACUACAGGCUUGGGGCAGAGUGGCUGGAAGACUGUGUGGAAGAAAUGGACCUGGGAGAGUUGGUUGACACUUAACUGAACAUGAGCCAGCAGUGUGCCCAGGUGGCCAAGAAGGCCAAGGGCAUCCUGGCUUGUAUCAGGAAUGGUGUGGUGAGCAGGAAUAGGGAAGUAAUUCCGCCCCAGUACUUGGCACUGGUGAGGCUGUGCCUCGGGUGCUUUCAGUUUUAGGCCUCCUACUACAAGAAAGAGCGUGUCCAGAGAAGGACGCCUAAGCUGCUGAGGGGUCCGGAGCACAAGUCUUAUAGCGAGCAGCUGAGAGAAGUGAGAUCAUUUAGUCUGGAGAAGAGGAGGCUCAGGGGAGACCUCGUAGCUUGCUACAUAGCUACCUGAAAGGAAGUUGUGACAAAGUGAAUGUUGGCCUCUUCUCCCACGUAACUGGUGAUAAGACUAGAGGAAAUGACUUCAAGUUACGCCAGGGGAGAUUCAGGUUGGACAUUAGGAAAUACUUCUCUGAUAGAGUGGUUAGGUGCUGAAACAGGCCGCCCAGGAAGGUGGUGGAGUCACCGUUCUGGAGGUAUUCAAGAAAUGUUUAGAUGUACCAACGGACAUGGUUUAGUGGGGAAAUACUGGUAGGUGGACACUUAGAUUAGACGAUUUUGGGUCUUCCAAAUUAUUCUGUGAUUCUGUAACUAUCACAAAAAGGAGCAAAGUCUCCACAUCAUUAUCUUUUUUUUUUUUUUUUUUUUUCCUAAAAUAACUGAGAGCUACUGUUACUAUGAUCCUUAACACGUAACAAAAGUUAGUUGAAGAAACAGAAGUUUCUCCAACUGUGUCGCAAUUUUAAGUCUUGUAUAGCAUCCUAAAAAUAAUGGAAGCGAUUAUGGGAUGAUCAAUUCCAGGAAUAUGGUUUCUUUUCAAAGUAGCACCUAAAUAUACUGUGAUAACACAAUUGGACUAUCUGCUGCACUUAACAAGGUUCAUUUUCCAAAUGAUCUUUAAAACUUCUUAGGUUAGCACCUAGAAGUCUAAUGCUGUUUUCUCUAUUGAGCAUUAAUGAAGCCACAGCAAGAGUGAUAAGUCCAGUUCUGGGCCCUGCAGGUAACGGGGAGCCCUUGAUAUACUGGAGUGAGUCCUGCAAAAGGCCAAGGGAUGAGGAGACUGAAGCAUUUCUCCCAUGAGGGGAAGCUGAGAGCUGGGACUGCUCACCCUGGAAAAGGGGAGGCUUAAGGGGAUUUCAUCAGUGUUCAUAAAUGCCUGAAAUGAGGCUGAAAAGAGGACAGAACCAGGCUCUUGUCAGUGGUGCCCAGUGUUAGGAUAAGAGGCAACAGGCACAAACUGAAAUGCAGUAGGUUCCUUCUGAACACCAGGAAGCAUUUCCGUGCUGUGCAAGUUACAGAGCAUGGGCACAGGCUCCCAUGCAGAGGGACUGCAGAGAUCUUCAUUGGUAUUUAAAGGCUAAAAACAGGUUUCUAAUUUUGACUCAGGUUCACUGCAAACUGAUAAAGAUUUAUAUAUAUAUAUAUGUAUACAUAAUUCUAAAUUAAACAUGAUUUCUGUAAACACUGACCAUUUGAAUUGUUCAGAGUACUGGGGAUGACUGAGCUUAUGUAUAAAUAAUGUGUGCAUAAUUUGCUUGCUUCUGUUUGUGUAUUUAUUCUCAUACCUAAGGAUUUUAGAAACUCUUGAGUUUAAAAGCAGUGAGCCAAGGAUCUGAUACAACACUUCUCAGAUUGUCUCUUUUACAUUUUUCUGCAUUAAUUCAUGAAAAGAGGGAAUUUUACCUUCUCCUUUUGCACUUGAUGAGUAGAACUUGUUUUCCUUUGUGUGGAAUAUAUGUGCAUUGCUUACAUCAAUCUGGCUAAAAAGAAGCAACCAUCUGACAGGAAGAAAUUGGGAAAGAAUUUGCACUGAAUGUCAGGAAAACUUCCUCAGGAUGAACUAUAUUGUGAAAUGAUCUGCCAAGGAAAACAGAAGUGUUUAAGGCACAAAAUGAGACUGAGCCCAGUGUGAAAGGUAAUAUAGGAGGAAGAGUAAGUACUUACUAUUGUUGACUUAAUCGGUGACCGCAGACCCUUCUUAGCCUGAGCCACAGUUAAUCAGAUUGUCAUGAAAUAUUGUUUAGUAAAUUAUUUCAAAGAUGUCUGUAAUGAUAAUGAGCUGAGAAUACCAGAUGCUUUUCACAAAGACAUAGUCUCUGUUUAUUUAAGGGAGUGGAAUUAUCAGGAAGAGGAGAGAGUCAGAAGUAGGACAUUCUCUAAUGAAUAUCUGCUUUCUGAGCUGUAUUUAAGAGUUAUUAGCCAUGACAUUUUGUGUGAGGCUAUAAGAAGAUAGCUUUUAUUAUUCUCAGGAGCCUAAAUUUUGUGGAGAGUUUUGUAGCUGGCCAAUUUUCCUGUUUCUUUAUAGAAAACAAGGAAGCUCAUAAGUCAAAUAUACUUGUUUCUAGCAAUUUGGAAAAUUUAAAAUAAAAACUUAGCUCUAAUAAUCAUAUUUCUGCCAACAUCUCUCGGCUUCCUUCUUGGGACAUCUAUUUAUUUAUUUCCGUCUCUGACUGUCUCUCUAUUAAAUGUUCAUCUAGGGGUUUUUCUUUGUGUUGUUGUUUUUUUUUUGUUGUUGUUGUUUCUUUCAGUUAAAAAUUUGGGAUGUUUCUGUUUUGGUCUGGUAAGAAUUUGCUGAUGACAUUCAGGUUCUCAAGCUCCUGAUCUCUUUUAGAAGACUGUUGCUGAAGUGCAGUCUUCUUGUCCCAUCUGCCUUAAUUUCUUCAUGUUCUCUUUCCAAAGAAGGCACUCGCUUUCUGUUUAUUGAGGAAAGCAUAUGACAAGUUAGCUUCAGGAUUUCUGACAAAUGACACUUUUUAAAAAUAAAUGCUGUGGUGAGUCUGACAGCUCAGUAUCCCUUAAGGGAUAAUGGGCAGUAAUUAAAAAACAUUGUUUUUACUGUUCAUAGUAAGUCAGAAGAUUCUUGCUUUGGAUAGAGAAGUGUUUAUUUGUUCUUUUAUUGA